GCUAUUUUGGCAAAAAAAAUGUGAUGAUUUUAGAAGCCAUGAAUGUAUAAUUUAUUAUAUAGAUAGUA
rnacentral:tRNA from 1 species